rnacentral:lncRNA from 1 species
AUUCUGAUAAAAAGCUUAAGGAACCUAUUUUCAAACCCUUCCAGGUUUCGAAAACUAGCCAAAAGCUUGUCCAUGAAUCAAAAUCGGAUUUUGCAAAAGCCAUCAGAGAACAACUAGAUAGGAUAGAAGCUGCUUCUUCCUCAUCUAGCAAAGUUCAGAUUGCCCUUGAUACUCCUCAAUCUAGCAAGAUUGGAGUAUUAGAAAAAGAUGACCAAACUUCUAUUGCCUCUUCUGACUUAGAAGCCUUUAUUGAUGAACCAAUUUCUAAAGCCAAUAAAAUCCAUUGGGAACUUGCUAUCCCUACUUCUAAAUCUCCACCUGAUUUAACUAUAGACAACAGGCCUAGUGCAUUAAAUCAAGCUCGUUAUAAUGCAUCCUCUGUCUAUGAGUGGAAUAUAGAUGGAAUGUCUGAAUACAACAUUCUAGGUGUAUUGCAGCAAAUGACCAUGGCAGCCAAUGCCUAUAAAACCCAAUCAGGAACUUCUGACAAAGCCAUUGCAGAAAUCCUAAUUGCCGGUUUUACUGGUCAACUCAAAGGAUGGUGGGAUCAUCUUCUCACUAAAUUGCAGCAAUUAGACAUCUUUAAUGCCAUCCAAACUGAUGAGAAUGGUGCUCCCAUUCUUGAUGAGUUUAAUAACCCUAUUCAGGAUGCAGUUGCUACCCUGAUUUUAACCAUUUCCCUUCACUUCAUAGGUGACCCUUCUCACCUUAGAGACAAAAACGCCGAGUUACUACACAACUUAAGAUGUAGGAAACUCAGUGAUUUCCAAGAUUACAAAACCACUUUCUUUACUAGACUCUUCCUUAGGGAUGAUGCAAAUCAUGUAACUUGGAAGGAAAAAUUCCUUGCAGGUUUACCUACCCUAUUGGGAGAAAAGGUUAGAAAUUCCAUCAAAGCUCUCUAUGACAAUCGUAUUCCUUAUGACGAGCUCACUUAUGGUGAACUAGUCAGUUUUGUCAAUAAAGAAGGUUUGAAGAUCUGUCAAGAUUUGAAAUUACAGAAACGUCUGAAGCAGGAGCUUAGGAGAUCUAAGCAAGAAUUAGGCGGUUUUUGUAAACAAUUCAAUUAUGACCCCUUUAAAGCUUCUACUUCCAAAGAUUGUAAUGGUAAGUGUUCUACAAAACCUUACAAGAAAUAUUACAAAUCUAAAAGCCAUAGGAAACCCUUUCACGAGUUUAGAAAACUUCCUUAUAAGAAACCCUCGAGGCCUUAUAAGAAACAUAGUUUCUCUAAAAAGAAAGAGUUUAAAGCCAAACCUAAAACCCCAUUCAACUUCAAAGAUGCCACUUGUUUCAAAUGUGGUAUGAAAGGUCAUACUGCAAAGUUUUGCAGAAUGAACAAGAGACUCCAAGAGCUUGACCUCAAUGAGGACAUCCUUUCCAAAAUAACCCCCCUCCUUAUAGAGUCCUCAGACUCUGAGUCUUCCAUGUCGGGAGAUAAUGACCCCCUCCAAGUUGAUGAGUUAUUUGAUUCAGACACCUCUGCAUCUAGCAGCAGCAAUUCUGAUUCGGAUUCCUAUUUAAAGAAAAUCAAUGUUUUGACUAAAGACCAAGAAAUUUUUCUUGAACUUGUAAAGCAUAUUUCAGAUCCAAAUCUUCAAAAAGAAUAUCUUGAUAAACUUUUGAAAACCAUGGAUUCUGACAAAGCCGGAACCUCAACUGAGAUUUCUAAGGUUCCAAUUAUUAAGAAGAAUUCUUAUGAUCUCACUCAAAUUUUGGAUAAAAAGAAAACAAAAAAGGCAGUUCCUAAUAUCCAAGAUCUUCAGAAAGAGAUAAAAGAAAUCAAAUGUGAAAUCAGAGAUUUAAAAGAAAAACAAAAAAGCGAUUCUGAGACUAUCCAACUUCUUUUACAAAAACAAUUGCAAGAUAAUUCAGACAAUGAAUCCAAUCCUGAUGAUGGUGAGGAUAUUAAAGUAGAAAACAUAGAGUCUGUGCCCAAUGAUUUUCUAUUUGUUUUAAAGCAAAUCACCACAAGAAAGUAUUUGAUUAAAGUCACUCUCAUCUUUUCUGAUGAUUUUGCUAUGGACGCCAUUGCCCUUUUUGACACUGGCGCUGAUUUAAAUUGCAUCAGGGAAGAUAUCGUCCCCAAAAGAUUUCAUGAAAAAACAAAAGAAAGACUUUCUGCCGCUAAUAAUUCAAAAUUGAAUGUUAGUUCCAAAGUUGAAGCCUCGAUUUAUAAUAAUAAAAUUGAAUUUAAAACUUCUUUUGUUCUUACAAAUGAUAUACACCAUGCUAUCAUUUUAGGAACCCCUUUUAUAAAUCUUAUAACCCCGUAUGCUGUCAAUUAUGAUGGUAUAUAUUUCAAAGCAAAAUCCAAAGACCUUGUUUUCUCGUUUAUUGAAAAACCCAAAACAAGGAAUUUAAAUAUUGUCAAAGCUUGUUCUGUUUACCAAAAUAAGAUUAAUGCCAUUCUUAAGUCCAAACAGGAUGAUUUAUUUUGCUUACAAAAAGAUUUAAAUUUCCAAAGAAUUGAGAAUCAACUUCAGAAUGAUUCUAUACAAAGAAAAAUUCUUGAUUUCAAAAGCCUCAUUGAAAAAGAAAUAUGUGCUGAUUUACCAUCUGCUUUUUGGAAAAGGAAACAACAUUUGGUAGAUCUGCCUUAUGAAAAUUCUUUUGAUGAAAAACAAAUACCCACCAAAGCACGUCCAAUCCAAAUGAACAUGGAAUUGGAACAACAUUGUAAAGAUGAGAUUAAUGAUCUUGAAAAUAAAGGACUUAUUGUAAAAUCAAGAUCACCUUGGUCUUGUGCCGCUUUUUAUGUCAACAAAAAUUCUGAAAUUGAAAGAGGCGUUCCUAGACUUGUGAUAAAUUAUAAGCCCUUAAAUAAAGCCUUAAAAUGGAUUAGGUACCCCAUACCUAAUAAAAAGGAUUUGCUCCAAAAAUUGUGUUCUGCUCUUAUUUUUUCAAAAUUUGACAUGAAAUCUGGUUUUUGGCAAAUUCAAAUUCAUCCAAAAGACCGUUAUAAAACUGCUUUUACUGUUCCAUUUGGACAGUACGAAUGGACUGUUAUGCCCUUUGGUUUAAAGAAUGCACCCUCGGAAUUUCAAAGAAUCAUGAAUGACAUUUAUAACCCCUACUCCGAGUUUUGUAUUGUUUAUAUUGAUGAUGUGUUGAUUUUUUCUCAAAAUAUUGAUCAACACUUCAAACAUUUAAAGACCUUUCAUCUUGUUACAAAAAAGGCUGGCCUGGCUCUUUCAAGUACAAAGAUUUCAUUAUUUCAAACAAAAGUCAGGUUCCUUGGUCACCAUAUUUCCAAAGGCACUAUUACCCCUAUUGAGAGAUCACUUUUGUUUGCGGAUAAAUUCCCAGACAAAAUUCUUGACAAAACCCAAUUACAAAGAUUUCUUGGCAGUUUAAAUUAUGUUCUUGAUUUCUGCCCUAAUAUCAAUAGGAUGUCUAAACCUUUGCAUGAUAGGUUAAAAAAGAAUCCUGUUGCAUGGACAGAAGAGCAUACCAAAGUGGUUAGAUUAAUAAAGCAAUCUGUAAAAAACAUUCCUUGUUUAUUUCUUGCAAAUCCUGCAUUACCUAAAAUUGUUGAAACCGAUGCAUCUGACAUAGGUUAUGGAGGAAUUUUGAAACAAAGGGAUAAUGAUAAAGAACAGAUAGUUCAAUAUGUUUCUGCUCAUUGGAAUGACUGCCAGAAAAACUAUUCUACUAUCAAAAAAGAAAUCCUUUCCAUUGUUUUAUGCAUUACAAAAUUUCAAAGUGAUUUAUUAAAUCAAAAAUUUUUACUUAGAAUUGACUGCAAAGCUGCAAAACAUGUUUUAGAAAAAGAUGUUCAAAACAUUGCAUCAAAACAGAUUUUUGCACGAUGGCAAGCUAUUUUAAGCGUUUUUGAUUUUGAUAUUGAGUUUAUUAAAGGUGAUAAAAAUUCUGUUCCUGAUUUUCUAACCAGAGAAUUUCUUCAAAACAGAUAAUGCCGCCAAAGAAGAAUAAAGGUAAAGCAGUUCUCAAAGACACUGGUUCCCAAGAACCUUCCAAAGAACCCCUUUCAACCCCUUCCAAAGAAAAAUUACUUUCUUCAGCCUUACCCAUUAAAUCUUGGAUUGAAAUGGUUGAAGAACAUGGAGCCCAAUACAAAUCGGUCUCUUCUGACGACCAAGUAAAGCAAUGGAUGAGUUCCAUUACAAAAUCUCCUGAGCUCAUGCUCGCCCUCCAAAACCUUUCUCAAAGCCAAAUUUCUCCUAAAAAAGAAAUUGAAAUUACAAAACCCUCUUCCCAAAAUGUUGUUGUCUCUGCUGAAAGCUCAUCUUCUCAAAUUGUGCUUUCUCAGCCAACACCUUCAAAGAAAACCUCCGAUUGGUUUGAUAAAACCCAUUUUCAAAACAUUCUUUCUCUAGAAGAUGGAUUUUACCAUUCUGAUCCUUUUCAAAGCAUUUCAAAGUUUUUUCCCAAAGGCUGGUUUUUCAAACCAUGGGAUUUGACAAAACCCCAGUCUUAUUAUCAAAGCAUUUUGGAAAUAACUGAAUCUGUUAAAUUCAAACAUUUCUUUCUUGACAAAGCCCAUCCAGAACCGGCUUAUUCAACGGCCACAAUCCUCAAAGUAUUGAGCCCAAAUCAGUGGGGUGACCUACUCCACAAUUGUAAAACCUUCCCUCUAAAUUUUGAAACCCGUUUACCACAUUGUCGGACUUUUUCCUACUGGGAUUACCAACAAGCAUGGUAUAACACCUUCUUUAUCCAAAACCCUAAAAAAUCCCACUCUUGGUUAUUUUUCUUCAACACAAAGAUAACCGUUCAAAGCCUUCCAAAUUGGUUUCAACAUUGGUGGAAUCAUUUUGGCCCAAUUCCACAAAUCUUAUCACCAAACGCUACAAAUUGCCUAAACCUCUUCAAAGCCCAUUAUUUACCCUCUGUCUCAGAAAAAAGAUUUCCCCCCUUUCUUUGCUUUUGUGCAAAUUUCUUUCUUCCUUGGGUUUGUUCAUGGAACCUACGUUUCCACAACCAAGAUUCCCAAGUCAUCCUUCAAAGAACCUUUAAAGUCAAAUGGUGGUCAAAAUUUGAUGAACAGUCCAAAUUGACUGUCAACAUGAUCAAAGAUUGGCUCUCCUCUAAAAACCUCCUACAACCAACCUUGGAAGCCUCUAAAGCCCAACAGACCUUCCUAACCCAAAAAUCCAAAGCCCAGUCUCUUUUGGCAAGCGCCAAAACGGAAGAUGAGUAUUUCAAAGCCAUGGAACAGCUCCUCGCCUCUCGAUCAAAGUCCUCAGCUGCAGAUUCCUCUGAAGAUGAAGAUGAAGAUGUUGAUGAUGAUGAAGAGCCUUUCAUUUCUCUCGGAGACGAUAAUGAAGAUGACUGUUUCGGCAUUUUCUCUCCAAUAAAGCAUUGUAAAUAAUUAUUUGAUUAUUUACUUAAAAAAAAAAAAAAAAAAAAAAAAAAAAAAAAAAAGAGAUGUAUUUUCGGGUGGUCCCCUGGACACAAGUGAGAGCGCACAUGUCUCUUCACCCGUAUUGUAUUUUUCUACAAAGAAUCUACUAUUCAAAGCUACGAUCCAAUUGUUACUGUGCACUUAAAAUCCCGCUACAGUGAACAGUGCAACUUUCCAGAGUUUACUGUGCACUUAAAAUCCCGCUACAGUGAACAGUUUAAAGAUUUUGUAUAUAAACCGAGAGGAAGACUUAGACUCCUCAGGUUUUUCAUUUUCUCUUCUUCUCUUCCUUCUCUCUAAACUCUCUCUCUCUCUCUAAAAGUCCGAAGAGUUCAAAGGAAUUUUCUGCUUACACAAUAGUUCUAUCACAGAGCUUUGGGUGAUCAGACUAGUUCUUUAUCUUCAAUCUUCCCGUCUUUCAAUCUUCCCUUCUGGAAAGAUUUGAAAAUUUGUAAAGCCAGAAAGCAAAGAUGUAUGUUUAAAUUCAGUCCUUUAAAUUUUUAAAGUUUAAUGUAAUUUAAAUUUUCGCAAUUUACUUUAAAGCAUUUACUUUUCUGCAAUUUAAUUUUAUGCACAUUUAAAUUCCAGCAAUUUAUUUUCAAAGCACUUUUCUUUUCAAAGCAUGCUUGCAGACUGAUCUGUAUCAGAUCUGCCAUAUAAAUUCUACAUUCCUCUGAGGCAAAGAGACCGGAUCUCGAUCCUCAGUUGUAAAUCUUCUCUUCUCCCUCCAUUCCUUCAGAGCACCAUUUCCGGGAACCGGAUCUGGUACUGUGUAUGUACCCAAGCCCUUAAAAGAACUUAAUCUAAAUCUGAUAAGAGCCCAAUAAAAAGAAUCAACCACGUUUAAAGCAACUUAACUUUAUUUGGUAAACUAAAACUGAUUUGGUAUAUCGGCUGGAAACCCGAACGUGCGGGCUAUUGAUCUGUUCUAAGUCAGAUCUGGGUCCAAAGGCUUCACUCUGUGUAGCAUCGAUCUGGUUUAACAACGCCACGUAUCAAUUAGUUAUUAAAAUUGACUAACCGCGUUCAAAUUUGUUUGAACAUUGUAUGAUCCAAAGAAUUGCAUAAUCAAAGCUGGUAAUUUAUUAUUUUAUAAAAUUUGGAAAAGCCGAUCCAUUAAUUGUUUAAUUUAAAGUUUUAAUACUGAGAUCCAACGAAAGCACAUCCAUCCUUCGAUCCUAUUCCCUUCUGGUAUCAGAGCCAAGGGGAGGAUAGUGUAAAGCAGUUUAUAAUUCUGUGUUUAAAGACUUGUGUUUUAUUUUGAAGUUUUGUUGUGUGGUGAAUCCUUACUGGUAGUAAGUCCCGCCAUAGGAUAAGGACAUCCGUUUAGGGCUGUAAAACCAUACCUGUAGCCAUUCUGACAAGACCAUAGAUAGACCAUAGGUUUCUAUUCAUGGAUCCUAUACACUGUAGAACAUCAUCCUUUUCUAGCUCUUCUUCCGGGAAGACUAGUGAUUCAAAGCAUGUUGUGAGUUCAGAGGAAUUCUUUAUUGAGAACUUUGAUAAAGCAAUUGAUUGUUGGGAACUUCCAAAAAUUUCUAAAGAAAAGAUUUACAAAACAAAAAAGCUUGAUUUUUUAAAGAGUGAUUAUAUUAUAAAGACUGAAGAACGUGACAUAACCCUUUCAAAUCCUUUUGAAACAAUUCAAUUGUUUUCUGAGCAUUCUUUAAAGAAGUUAAAAGAAAAGAAUUUCAAUUAUGUUCACAUCGGUCUUAUUCACGUCGGAAUAAAACCCUUAACCAAAGAAGGCUUGGACACUUCUAUCCUUGCUGUCCUAAGAGAUGGGCGAUUCAUCUCUUUUGAUGAUUCCUUGCUAAGUAGCAUCGAAUCCAGUCUGUGUAAAGGUCCAAUUUCAUUUGAUUGUUAUCCAAACAUAACAAUUUCACUUAAAGACAAAAAUAUUUUGAAAAGCAUGAUUUUACAAAUCAAAACCCACAAUUAUCAUAUGAUUGAGGGUUCCAUCCCAGUUGCCUUAAUUUUUAAAAUCUCGUAUAAGGCAAUGAUCACUGCAUUCAGUACACAACAUAAAUUCCAGUCAAAGAGAGAUGAGACUCUUCUCUUGCAGACUGAUUUGUCUAGAGCCAACACUGUAAUUCCAAAACCUAUUCAAUGGAAAGAUGUCCAUCUUCCAGAAGAAUGGAUUCUUGAAGGAGCCGCUCCACCAGCGAUUCCAAAACAACUUGAGCCUAAUACAGAGUUACAAAAUGUGACUCAAUAUUCCGAUGGCAAAGUCAAACUGUCUUUCAGAAGAUCUACCUCAUCCAGAUUUUCUGACAAAGCUUCGUGCUCAAGCAUUCCUUCAUUAGAAAGGAAAUUUACAAAAGUACCCUCUGUUAUAAAUCUUCCUUUUCAAAGUCAACCUAGGUUUUCAACUUCUGAUAUACCUAGCACUUCUAUACGAUCAGUCGAUUACACCACUAGUGUUCCACAUCCAAUCUACACUAGUAGUCAACAUAUUCAAAGUCAGGAAGAGAAGGAACCUUCUCCUCCAACAUCCCCUACAUUUUCUGCAGUCACAGAAAAUGUCAUUAAUGUCAUCGAAAAAGAUUUUGAAUUGGAUAAAACUCUUUUACAUAAUGAUUUUUAUUCUGAUUUAAACAAAGAAAAAAGACUUUGGUUUUUCGAACACUUUUUAAACCAAAGAAAAGAAAUCCAACAAUUUUAUUAUGAAUUUGUGAAUCUUCAUAAAGUUCAUAUAUUGUUUUUUGAUUGGUUCGAAAUAUAUUCUUCUGAUAACAACAUCUCUUACCCCUUCAAAGAGUCAAACCCUAUUACUAUUAGGAAAAAGACCACUGAAUGGAAACUCUCCGAAAGUAAUAGAACUGUCGAUUCUGAGCAUCCACCCCUCCGGAGUGUAACCGUUGACCACGGCGAACCUCCUAUAGAAAUUAGAGCUUCACCUUACAAAAUCCCCAAACCAAAUGAUACUGAUAGUAAUUUAAGUAGUAUUAUUCAACAGAAUAAUUUCUGUAAUACUAACUUAAAUACUAUAGGAAAACAGUUGACUAGAAUAGAAAACCAAUUUCAACAGUCAACCAUAUCUGUUUCUCCUAGUCAAAAGCCUAUCCCUUCAAAAUCAGAUUCUGAUAAAAAGCUUAAGGAACCUAUUUUCAAACCCUUCCAGGUUUCGAAAACUAACCAAAAGCUUGUCCAUGAAUCAAAAUCGGAUUUUGCAAAAGCCAUCAGAGAACAACUAGAUAGGAUAGAAGCUGCUUCUUCCUCAUCUAGUAAGGUUCAAAUAGCUCCUGAUACUCCUCAAUCUAGCAAGAUUGGAGUAUUAGAACAAGACCAGGUUUCUAUUGCCUCUUCUGACUUAGAAGCCUUUACCGAAGAACCUGUUUCUAAAGCCAAUAAAAUCCAUUGGGAACUUGCUAUCCCUACUUCCAAAUCUCCACCUGAUUUGACUAUAGACAACAGGCCUAGUGCAUUAAAUCAAGCUCGAUAUAAUGCAUCCUCUGUCUAUGAGUGGAAUAUAGAUGGAAUGUCUGAGUAUAACAUUUUAGGUGUAUUGCAGCAAAUGACCAUGGCAGCCAAUGCCUAUAAAACCCAAUCAGGAACUUCUGACAAAGCCAUUGCAGAAAUCCUAAUUGCCGGUUUUACUGGUCAACUCAAAGGAUGGUGGGAUCAUCUUCUCACUAAAUUGCAGCAAUUAGACAUUUUUAAUGCCAUCCAAACUGAUGAGAAUGGUGCUCCCAUUCUUGAUGAGUUUAAUAACCCUAUUCAGGAUGCAGUUGCUACCCUGAUUUUAACCAUUUCCCUUCACUUCAUAGGUGACCCUUCUCACCUUAGAGACAAAAACGCCGAGUUACUACACAACUUAAGAUGUAGGAAACUCAGUGAUUUCCAAGAUUACAAAACCACUUUCUUUACUAGACUCUUCCUUAGGGAUGAUGCAAAUCAUAUAACUUGGAAGGAAAAAUUCCUUGCAGGUUUACCUACCCUAUUGGGAGAAAAGGUUAGAAAUUCCAUCAAAGCUCUCUAUGACAAUCGUAUUCCUUAUGACGAGCUCACUUAUGGUGAACUAGUCAGUUUUGUCAAUAAAGAAGGUUUAAAGAUCUGUCAAGAUUUGAAAUUACAGAAACGUCUGAAGCAGGAGCUUAGGAGAUCUAAGCAAGAAUUAGGCGGUUUUUGUAAACAAUUCAAUUAUGACCCCUUUAAAGCUUCUACUUCCAAAGAUUGUAAUGGUAAGUGUUCUACAAAACCUUACAAGAAAUAUUACAAAUCUAAAAGCCAUAGGAAACCCUUUCACGAGUUUAGAAAACUUCCUUAUAAGAAACCCUCGAGGCCUUAUAAGAAACAUAGUUUCUCUAAAAAGAAAGAGUUUAAAGCCAAACCUAAAACCCCAUUCAACUUCAAAGAUGCCACUUGUUUCAAAUGUGGUAUGAAAGGUCAUACUGCAAAGUUUUGCAGAAUGAACAAGAGACUCCAAGAGCUUGACCUCAAUGAGGACAUCCUUUCCAAAAUAGCCCCCCUCCUUAUAGAGUCCUCAGACUCUGAGUCUUCCAUGUCGGGAGAUAAUGACCCCCUCCAAGUUGAUGAGUUAUUUGAUUCAGACACCUCUGCAUCUAGCAGCAGCAAUUCUGAUUCGGAUUCCUAUUUAAAGAAAAUCAAUGUUUUGACUAAAGACCAAGAAAU